rnacentral:lncRNA from 1 species
GCAUAUUUCAGGCUAAACUGUGCUGCAGCAAUUCCAUGUGGGGCUGGAGCUGAGCUGCUUGGUGCCCUGCACUCGGAGGGAGAGGAGGAGAUCAGGAGAGAGGCUGGCUCUGACCCUCACACCACGUAACAGCGCCUGGAGCAAAGGCAGGAUUUAUUGUUUUUCCUGCCUAUUGGUGAGGCUGUGAAGUCUCAAGAAAAGUGUCUUGCUCUGGAGAAAGGAAAUUAAACCUGGAAUGGCUGGAUUGGAAGGGAAAACCCCAUUUUCCCAUUACUUUCAAUAGCAUUUCAGUUCCCAGCUCCCCUGCGCUCUGCAGCCGGCACCGAGCACAGCCCAGCCUCAGCACCUGCUGAAAGCCUCACCAAACAAGCCGUGACAGCAACAAACCCACACCACCCAGCUGUCCUCCCACAGCUCAGCGAGGGCCAGGGCUAAUGCUGGGCCAGCAGGGAGAUUUGCCUGUCUGAGCCCUGGCUGGGGCCAGCAGCCCCAGCUGUGGGCACAGAGCGAUCCCUGCUCCCAGCCAUGGGCUUCUCACGU